AGGGACACUCUGUACGUCUGAUUUUGGAAAGACGAUGAGAGGGGAUGUCAAAGGCCAUGGCAUCGGAAGACGAAUCGAAAGGUACAGCCGGUUCGUCUUCCUGGGUUUAGGCGCUCUCUUGCUUGGUCAUGUAAGGAAACAAGAGAUGUGACGAGGGGAUUCCUCUCCGUGGAACGAAACCAGCCGUGACAAGACCCUAAGCGUAGAGCUCGCCGAAAAGAGGUUUUCGUUUGUUUCCUUUCUUUUCAAUGUUUCGAAAAAUUAGUCGUAGAAGAAGCAGAACUCAAUGGUGUUUUUGUUCUUGCAAUAGUAGAUUCUCUCAUGGGUGAAGAAGAUAGAGAAGAGGAAGAAGAACCUGCAGGCACCUUCUCUAUGGAGCGAGGUAA
rnacentral:lncRNA from 1 species